rnacentral:tRNA from 1 species
CCCGUGGGGGCCUGAGCCGGUCGGCUCAAAAUCGAUUGGUUGCAGGCUCGAGUCCUGCCGGGCCCA